UGGUAAGAGAGUCUCAAUCACUGUAGGAGUUAGGGGCAGAAGAGUGAAGUAAAAAUGAUUAUUUUGGUAAAGGAUCCCUGGUGAAUUUAAUGUGAAGCAAUGGUUGGGGACAGAUGAGUAAAUGCCUGUUCAUUGGGAUAGAGAAAGUCACAUCAGAAAUAAAGAACAUUUUCAUCAAAAUCCCAAUCUUCUUUAGCUACUUCUGUCACAGACUAUGAGAGUUUCUAGUUGGCUCUUCUCCAGAGUUUUGUCCCAAUCUCAUAUAACCAUAUAAUUCCUAACACCCCAGAGAGAAUCUUAGGCUCAGUCUUGGGUUCAGUGGCUGUUUCAGCUCAAGCUUUUCAACGUGAAAGCAGUGCAUAUGGCCGAGUGCCAGGAUCCCUCUUUCUCUUCCCACCACUUUACACUGCUCAGAGACUUAAUGAAAGGUUUACAAUUCUCCAUGGCAUAAGGGAGUUCUCAGCUGGUGUAAAGCUUCAUGCCCAACUCUCCCACCAGCUGCUUUUCUGCACAUUGCUGAGGGAGGCAAGAAUGAAAUGAGAUGAAGUGGAACCUGUGCUCUGUCAAUGCACAGAGACUCAAUGGCACCACGGGGUCUGGGAGACAUGAUCACAGCUCAUCAAGGUGCAACAGCAGCACAGAAGGACAUUCCCAACCUACCUUUAGGCUCAUUAAUGUUGGCAGUGCUGUUAUGGCUGUGUGGUGCUCAGAUGCUUCCCCAAGGUCCUAGCAAGGCUGUGCAGCAUGUGUAAGCUCUGUUCUCUCUGGCUGUUGCUGCUAUUAGUACCUGAAGGUGGCCAAUUUCUUGAUGGUUCACCUUUCUAAUGAGACAUGUUUGUUUCUAAGGCAUAUACAGUUACAUACACCUGUCACCUAUGGAUUUCCUGACAUCCUGCCAGACUGUCUCUGCUAUGGUCCUGCAAGAUCAUUCCUGGGAAAUGGGCAGUUGUGCCAUAAUCUGGAUACUCACCUCACCCUUGUUGUGCUCUGCAGCUUCAUCAACAUUUUGGAUGCAGCAGACACCACUUCAAGAGGCAUCCUCCAGCUACCACGCUUAUGUUACUGGACCUUCUGCUGUAAAUUAAAGACCUGAAAGCUGCUUUGAGAGGGCAUUCCGCAUCCCCACUGAAUACACUUCAGUGUUGUACCUGAGCUCCUAAAGUGUUAGGUGGUCUUUUAUAAAACUGACAUGCAAAAUAGUAACUGCUGAAGGCAGCAGACUUCUCU